AGCGUUGUCCGGAUUUAUUGGGCGUAAAGAGCGUGUAGGCGGCCAGGUAGGUCUGCUGUGAAAACUCGAGGCUUAACCUCGAGAUGUCGGCGGAAACCAUCUGGCUAGAGUCCGGAAGAGGAGAGUGGAAUUCCUGGUGUAGCGGUGAAAUGCGCAGAUAUCAGGAAGAACACCCGUGGCGAAGGCGGCUCUCUGGGACGGUACUGACGCUGAGACGCGAAAGCGUGGGGAGCGAACAGG
rnacentral:rRNA from 1 species